rnacentral:rRNA from 1 species
AGAGCGAACGCUGGCGGCAGGCCUAACACAUGCAAGUCGAGCGCCCGUAGCAAUACGGGAGCGGCAGACGGGAUAGUAACACGUGGGAACGCGCCCUUCGGUUCGGAAUAACUCAGGGAAACUUGAGCUAAUACCGGAUACGCCCUUACGGGGAAAGAUUUAUUGCCGAAGGAACGGCCCGCGUCCGAUUAGCUAGUUGGUGAGGUAAUGGCUCACCAAGGCGACGAUCGGUAGCUGGUCUGAGAGGAUGACCAGCAUCACUGGGACUGAGACACGGCCCAGACUCCUACGGGAGGCAGCAGUGGGGAAUAUUGGACAAUGGGCGCAAGCCUGAUCCAGCCAUGCCGCGUGGAUGAUGAAGGCCUUAGGGUUGUAAAGUCCUUUUAACGGGGAGAUAAUGACGGUACCCGUAGAAUAAGCCCCGGCUAACUUCGUGCUAGCAGCCGC